ACACUCACGCACAGCCUACCCCAUCCAAAAUGUUUCCGACAAAAAUCUGGCACUCCUGGUUCUAAUCAAAAUACUGAACUUUGGAACAAAUUAACAUUCCGCAGCCUGCAGGGAAGGGGGAACUCAGCCGAGACAACUUCGGCUCACAACCAUCACAAAAAUAGCUCCUCCUGGGGAAGACACAUUCUGCUAACAAGGUCACUUUUGUUUGGCUUCUCCUGCCAUCUGGCUGAGUGGCACCAGGGGCUGGCUCUGGGACCAGCUAAAUUCUGCAGCGUGGAUGGGAGCCGGGUGGCACCGCAGAAGGCUUCUCAGCCUCCUGGCAAGAAAAGUCGGUGCAAAGUUACCUUCAGACACCCCAGAAAGAGCACRGGCAGAUGGAGCCCCGGUUUCACCCAGCCCUGCUCUGCUCGGCUCUGCACUGAAGCUUGCAGGAGGUGUCACUCCAGAGACAGCAACAAGCAGGUCCUCAUCUGUAGAAUGGAGAUCACUUGCCCAGACCCUGAGCAGCUAUGGGGAAAGGGGACAAGGAGGGCGAAUGUCCUGGCCUAGAGCACCUGGCUGAGGUCCUCUGGAGAGAACGCGCUGGAAUCCUGAGCUCUGUGUUCAUUCCCAGAGGGCUUGCAUGCCGAGGAAGCUUCUGCAGCACUUGACGUGGCCCAGAUGGUCUGGCUGGAACUCUCUGGGUGUGAAGGCAGGGCUGGGUCUUGAGCAUUGGUACUUUUCCUUUUCCCCCCAAAGAUGAUGCUUCUUUGAUGCCAGUGAUUUUGUCUUCUAAAGUAGCUUGAAAAACAAUGAAUGCAGACACAAAAUAUUGCUUACAGCUAUGAGGAAUUUGUGACAUACUGAAGCCAUCUAUCUCCUGGGAGGAAUCCAAGGGGUCCCAGAAUAUCUCCUGGGGACCAAAGGAGGGGAACAAAAAUCUUCAAUCCCAUAGAGGAAGAAACUUCAAAUGACCUACUCUCAAGGAAAAUAGGUUGAUAACACAUCUUUUUCAGGAUUUAAUAUUUUUUUAAAAAAAAGACAAAUGAAGGGACUUUGACUUCCAGGAGUAUGCAGCACCAUGUCCCCCCAGCAGAUGCAGGGCCCUCACCUGGGACUUCCUGGCCUCUAGAACUGAUGUUGAGGAAACGAGAAUCGCCUACAUCAGAGAAUGAGAAGGACAGGAACUGAAGAUGGAGAUGGUGGCUGCAGCCUGUGCCAGGCCUCUGGACCCUGCUGUUGGGAAAGCCCUUGCUACACCAGGAAGAAAGGAGACCCCUGCGAUAGGGGAUCCUGGACAGAGGAGAGCUCAGGGCGCCAGAUGACAGGAGAGGCAUCGGGGGCUAAUGUGGAAGUCCUGGAGGGCAGGAUGUCCACAGGGGGAAUCUGGGUCACCUGUUUUGGGCUUAUGGCAGGGGCUGGUUGUCAGUGCAGGUGACUGGGGCUGCUCACACCUGUGGAAUCCACAUCUCUGGGAGGCCCUGGGGAUUAUUUUAUGCAUGGGAACUCAUGGUUCGCAGUAGGCUCUGGACUUCAUCCUACAGGCAAAGGGAGGCUAUGGAAGGGUCUGGAAGGGAGGAUGUGGUGCAUCUUGCAGAUGUUCUGCCUCUGGGGCUGGGGUUGAGUGGAGGGGGAUGAUGGGGAAGCCAGAGCAGAAGGCCAGCUGGGUAGACCUGCUCCUUACUCCAGUCCCCAGGGUCUGGCUGCACUCCAGAGAGACAGGCACAUUGACCCUGGCUCUCAGGUUGUCCACAUCUUGGGCCUCAGAUUGCUGGUCGCCUUUUAAUGUGCUUGUCACUCACUGUCAGCCUAGCAGUUGGUGGUCCAAGGAUUCACCUCCUCUGCCGUCUGUGCACGAUGGUCCAGGAGGUGAGAGGUCCUCUGUGCUUCUUCUCCAGGUUGUCUGGCCUCGUGUGUCUGUGAUCUGAGCUCUGCUGAGGGUGGGAGUACAAUUCCCAGGCUGAGGUCAAGUGCAUCCCCAAGGGCUCCUGCUGUGGGCCUGGACAGAGAGGAGCCCAGCGACUCAGCUCUUCCCAGUCAGAGGCUGGGCUCAGCAACUCCCGUCUCAGGCUGGUGCUAUUCCAACUGGCCUCCAUCUUUCAGAGCACACAGAUGAGCAUUGAUCUCAGACUCUCUUACUGUCAUCAUUUACUGAGUGCUGGAAAGACUUGCACAUAAUUCAGCGGAGGAAAACAGAAUUCUGGUCGCCAGCCGCAUGUCAACAAAACACCCGGAUGAUAUGGGCGGCUGAAACAGAGAGAAGCAAGCCUCCACCCAUCCCAGCCUCCUCAGGCUCCACAAAUACCAAGCUCUUGGCCGAGGCUUGCAUUAGUCUCCAGAUCAACAUUAUCGGGGUGUGAUUUACAUGCAAUAAACUACAAAAAAAAUCAUGAUUUGAUGCUUUAACAAAUGUACAUCUCCAAGUAACUAUCACCUUGAUGGAGGUAUGGAAUAUUUCUGGCACCUGCGGAAAGUCCUGCCAGCCCCUAGAAGCCAGUCUCUCAUUCACGGGUGACCUGCUAGCUGUCAUUGUAGCAUUGCAUUUUCAUGAUUUCAUAUUGUGGAAUCAUAUCGGUGAUACCUCUGUGUCUCACUGCUUUUACUGAUAUUUGAGAUCCACCCACAUUGUUCUGUUUACCCUUUUACUGUUAAGGUCUGUUUCACAGUUUGUUUAUCCAUUAGCCUGUGGAUGGACAUUUGUUUCCAAGGUUUUGCAUGUGAUGACUUGAGCUGUUAUACAUAUUAGUGUACAAGUCUUUGUGUGGAGAUAUGUUUUCCUUUCUCUUGGGUAAAUAUCUAAGAGUAGCUGGGUUGUCUGGUAGGCAUUUUUUUUUAGAAACUGCCAGAUGUUUUUCUGGAGUGGAUGCACUAUGUUUGCAUUCCCACCAAUAACAUGCAAGAGUUCCAGUUGCUCCACAUCCAGGAUGGUAAGUGGGAUCGUGAGUCUUUCUGAUUUUAGCUAUUCAAAUGGGCGUGCGGUGGUACCUCAUAUGGUUAUUACUUGCAUUUCCUUGAUAACUGGUUUAGUUUGGGUCUGGAACUGAAGGCCCAUGUGCUGUGGCUUGGUCCCUAUGCCCUGGUUCUAUGGGAAGAAAAUUUAAGAGGUGGGUCCUAGUCAGAGAUAGGUCAUUGGAGGUCAAUAGAGGUGUGCCUUCAAAUGGAAUCAUGGGACCCUGGUCUCUUUCUGCCAACCGAUCAGGGACUGGAACUUCCAAAACUAUGAGAAUAAACCUUUCCUCUUUUUUUAAGUUGAUUAAUUCAACUUUUUUGUUGCAGUAACAGGAAACUGGCUAACACAAUGGCUACUUUUUUGGCAUAUUUUCAUGUGCUUUUAAGAAUUCAUAUGUUUUCUUUUAGGAGUGUCUUUUAUAUUUUUUAUCCAUUAAAAUUAGGUUGUUUGACUUAUGAUUCAGGUGUAGAAGUUAUUUAAGAUUCUGCUAUAAACACUUAGGCACAUGUAUUUUUUCCAAGUCGUGUUUUUGUUUUAAUAUUUUUAUCUAUGUCAUUCAUGAAACCAAAUUUUAUAUUAUGAUAAAGUCCCACUUAUCAACUUUUUAUUUUAUGAUCUGUGUCUUUUAAGUCUUAUUCUAGAAAUUUUUGCCUACCCAAUAUCAGAAAUUUUCUCCUAUGUUUUCUUCUAGAAGUGUUAUAGUUUUAGCUUUCAUGUGUAAGUCUAUGAUCCACUUCAGGGUAAUUUUGUGCAUGGUAUAUGGCAAGAUUUGAUGUUUACUUUUUUCCACAUAGAUACUCGGUUAUACCAUCACUCUUUGUUAAGAAACUUUCUUUCCUCAUUGAAUUACCUCAAUGCUUUUGACAAAAAUAAAUUGGCCAUCUGCCUGAGGGUAUA